rnacentral:lncRNA from 1 species
UGAGAAAACAAAUUUUUUUUUUUUCUUUCGCGAUUCUGUUUUUCUCGACCCUCUCUCUCUUCUCUUUGUUUUGUCUGAUGGCGAAUCGUGUUGAGCUUCAAUUCCGGCGAUGUACAUCAUCAAAUCGGAAGUAAAAGGCAAAGCAACGUUGUAAACAAUAAGCCGUGAUGCUCAUCUCCACCGUCGGCGUGGUCACCAACAGAAGUUCGUUGACCUAAUCAGUGGGUUCUGCAAAUCAAACCGGAGAGAAAGGCGAUUCCAGUGGCUCCAAUCACUUCCUCACAGUACGUUCUCUCUGAGAUUAAAGUUUUGUAUUUGAUCUUGAUUCGUGUAUUGAAAGUUCUCCAUAUCAUUUUUCAGAUGAGGAUUGACUUUGUUUUGGUUUUCUCAGUUUUUGUUGCUCUUGUGGUCUGAUCCGUUCUUAUAGCUGUCUUUUGUUUGUGAAUAGACAAUUCUCGGUUCAUGCGGAGUUCAAUUCUGGGCUUUGUGUUUGAGGAUCAAACUCUGUUUCGAUUAAUGAUUUCUCAGAAAUUCAAUUUGACUGAAAUUGUUGAUGAUUUUGGGAUUUUCUUUCUAGAUUGCAAUUUAAUUCAUAUUUGAGUUAAUUGAGAUUUUGUUUGAUGUAUUACUAAUGUCGAUUCCGAUUGAAACCGUUACUGGAAUUUUCACAUUCCUGUGAGACUGGUGAUCAACUACUUUCAUUUAUGCAGGUGAUCAAAUUGUUAGCUAGGUAUUACUUGAGUAACAGUCAAGCUUAUAGUGCAUAUUAUAUCCUGUGAGACUGGUGAUCAAAUUGUUAGCUAGGUAUUACUUGAGUAACAGUCAAACUUAUAGUGCAUAUUAUAUCCUCAAAGGUACCCCUACAUUCUUCCUUACUGUCUUAUAUGUGAACAUUUCAUAUCUUGUUCUAUUUGGAAAAUCUAAACUUGUUUUACAUUUGUAAAUUGAAAGUUCAAAAAUGACUCGGUCUCGGUAUUUAUUUGCAUUCUCAUCCUUUAAGUUGGAUCUUCUUGGAGAGGCUGAAGCUGCAUUGUUGACCAGUGAAGAUUAUGUUGAAGAAGUAUAUGGCGUUGCUUUUUACUUCCUUUAUUAAAAUUCUCCAUAUCCAUGGAAUUUGUACACAUCAUUUAUCAAGCUAGUCUGCUGAUCCACCAACAUGUCAUGCUGAUUACAGGUGGUAUAACGCAUAAGAGGAGAUUCUUGGGAAGAAAAUGAAUGUACUUUUAAUUUGUUUUGUUUUCUUCUUGCAACAAUAUGAUCAGUAUCAAAUAAAAAUGUUUAUAAUUUUAAAUUUUUUUUCUUUUUUGUUUUUUAAGAAACCUACUUAAAGAUUCACCAUUGGACAAAAAAAA